UGCUGCAUGGCUGUCGUCAGCUCGUGUCGUGGAGAUGUUCGGUUAAGUCCGCUAACGAGCGCAACCCUCGCUGUGUGUUAUAUGUGUCACACGGGACUGCCGGUCUUAAGCCGGAGGAAGGUGGGGAUGAUGUCAAGUCAGCAUGGCCUUUAUAUCCUGGGCUACACACACGCUACAAUGGCCAACACAAUAGGUUGCUAAGCCGCGAGGUGGCGCCAAUCCAUAAAGUUGGUCUCAGUUCAGAUUGUAGGCUGCAACCCGCCUGCAUGAAGAUGGAGUUGCUAGUAACCGCAGGUCAGCUAUACUGCGGUGAAUACGUUCCCGGGGCUU
rnacentral:rRNA from 1 species